AAGAUACAUCCUAAGAUCCAUUUGCUAAUUACCAAAUCUGUUUGUUGCAGUGAAAAUGAAUUAAGGAGAAGUGCAGGACCCUUGAAAAGAGUUAUAACAGUAGCUCCUACUACUGUUAUUAAUGUUCCAACCAGUUUCCUCCAUCCAUAUCUGUCAGUCAGAUUCACCUUCUCGAUCCUCAAUCCUACUGACAUGAUGAAAAUGAUCGCCGGAACGGUGUUAAGUAUAGCAGAAGAGAAGGUUGAUGAUAUAUAAGACAGACCCAGAAGAAAUAACCAUUGGUUUAAUGUAACCCUACAAUCAAUAAUUAACAAUCAACCAUGCAUCACCAAUAUGUAAAUACUGCGGAUUUCAGUGUUUUUUUACGCGUUAUUGCUGGUAUGAUCUCACCCAAAACAAAAAAUAUAAAUACUGAUCAAUGAAUGAUGAUUGGAAUUGAAACUUACCCAAUCAGCGCGAUAAGAAUGAAUUGGAGCAGUAAUGAGAGUGUCAGAGGUGGUCUGUCAUUCCUGUAAGUGAUUCGGUGAUUGAUGGAAUAUUAUAAAUCUGCAAUGUGUAAUUAAUCAUAUGCAUUGAUUAAACUUACUUUUCAAGAAAAUAUGCAAAGGGUGCCAAGAAUAAGAAACCAAUUAUGUUCCUGUAAGUUGAGAACACAAGUUUGCUCAAACCCAUGUUCAGAGAGAGAGCACACACCACAGUUAAACCUGCAAGAAAAAGCUGGAGAACCAGCACUCCCAAAAGAAGCUUCAUCACUCUAGUUUGAGUUCUCUAGAUGCUAACUACCUCCUCUUCUCCUCUACCUCUUUUCAUUUAAGCUAUCUUUGCUGCAAAAUUGCUCAAUUACUGAACUGCAAACUGCAUGAUACUAUCUUCACCGGCUCCAUCGCAAUAAAUUAAAAGGCUAGAAAAAAAUCUUAUCUUCUUAAUGUCUGGGCUUCUGCUCCACCCCAUGUUCCUUGCCUUCAAUAAUUGCCACUAUAUGUUGGUGAAAAUAGUAGACCCCAAGGUCAAUUUCCUUCACCAAUCACCUUAAAACCGUGAUUGGGACCGAAAUUGUGCCAAAUUUUUUUUCCUACCCUGUGCCCAGUUGCACUGAUAAUUUUUCGGGGCGGGUUGGGGCCAAAAAAGAUAGGAAAUUCUUCUUUUUGCGGUGGCACCCCGUCCCACCCGUCAUAUUUUCCAGAGCGGGUCUCGAGGCAAGACUGCCCCAUCUCGGUUUUACCCCGGUUUUCAUAAACCAGGGUGGGGCACGGGGGUAUUACCGCCCGUUAUCCGUCACGUUCUCACCCCUACUUAAUACAGUUAAUAGUGAAUGGUAUAUUAUUGUAUAUAAUAUAUUAAUACAAUACACAAGUUUUCAGACGAGCAUGUUCUUUUUAAGCACAAAUUUUAAAGACUAAGAAUACAAGGAAAUAAGAUAAAUGUCACCCAUAAAGGCAUGUGUGUAAAGAAUACAAAAGAUAAGGAAGGAAUGCAAAAUCACCCAUCAGGUGAUAUACCAAAACCACAUAAUAUAUAUAAUGAAAAUUAUAAGAUCGAGAGAUGAUUUAGAAUCAAUCGUGUUUGAUAUUGGGCAAAUGUCUUGAUACUUAUACACAAUGAACAAGAUUGGAAAUAUAAACAAGAUUGGAAAUAUAAACAAGAUUGGAAAUAUAAACAAAAUAGGAAAUAUGAACAAGAUAGGAAAUAUGAACAAGAUAGGAAAUGUAUCCUUCUCCUAAUCCCAGUAUCAAUCAUAUAUUCUUCCUGGAUGUAUGGGAUCUUUGCCAACAAGCUUUAUCCUUAAUGUAUGGGAUCCUAGUAUCAAUCAUAUAUUCUUCCUGAAUAUAUGAGAUCUUUGUCAACAAGCGUUAUCCUUAACACGCCCCCUCAAUCUUGUGAGAUUGCUCCAACAAGAUUAGAUUUAAGCUCUAAAAACGGUUCUGGUCUUAAGGGCUUAGUAAGUAUAUCUGCCUUUUGUUUCGAAUUCGCAAUGUGACACACAACUAGGGUUUGAUUUUCCACUCGCUUACGAAUGAAAUGUAAAUCAAUAGCCAUGUGUUUGAUUUUCGUGUUGAACACGGGGUUUAUCUUGAUGGUUGUGGCGCUUUGAUUAUCGCAGUAGAUUUUCAUUGGCACAUUCACUUGUACCCCAAGUUCCUCAAGUAAUGAAUUGAGCCAUUCCAACUCGCUCACAGUCGCAGCAGUGCUCUUGAAUUCCGCCUCCGUGCUAGACCUUGCGAAGGUCGGAUGUUUUUUUGAGUACCAUGCGACAAGAGUACCUCCAGCGUAUAUUAGAAUUCCUGAAUGGCUCUUGCGGUUUGAAGUAUCUUCUGUUGGUUAUUUGUACACUAUGCUUUAAGCAUAUUAGUAUAUUCUUUAUUAUUGUAACGUACUAACCUCCCACUACAUUAGUUAUGGGGUGGUUACACUCAAGUGUAUAUAUAUUCAUAAAUAAGGAGCAUAAUAACCAUCUCAGUUAUUUGUCAAAACCACCAUUGUUGAUCUUCCUUCCAUCCUUCAUUAUGGCCGAAACUAGCCAAUCCUCCCCCUCCAUGUUUUCAUCGUCCACUACGAAUGCUAGUCCGAUCUUUAAUAUCUUCCCCCAGUCCGCGUCAUAAUACCCGAUCGGAUCCAUGCUUUUCACUUUUUGUAGGAAAAUUCAGAAAUUAUGUGUUCCUGAGAGGUAGCGCAAAAUCUUUUUGAGUGUGAUCCAAUGAAUCGGUCUGGGAGAUGUCAUAUACUACGAAAGUUUAUUAACCGAAUAACUGAUGUCGGGUCUAGUCAGAAAGAGGUACUGAAGCGAACCAAGGAUGCGUCGAAAUUCUUUCUCUUCCUUGAUGGGUUCUUCUUCAGAUACCAAUGAUUCAUUUGCAGUCAUUGGUGUUGAUGACGGCUUAAGGUUCUCCAUCCAACAACUCUGUAGGAGAUCUACGAGUUAUUGCUGCUGAUUUAGAUGUAGCCCACCAUAUUUUGUGUAUUUGAUCUGAAUAACAAGAAAGAAUUUUAAUUCUCCCAGAUUACAUAUUGAAAAUUCUUUGGCCAAACAUACGAUAAUCCUUUAAACUUCUUCUUCAUUUGAUCCGCAAAUCACUAUUUCAUCGACAUAGACAAAUAGGAAGACUGUGAAUUCCUUAUUGAGUAUGAAUAAUGAUGGAUCCAAAAUACUUCCCAAAAACUCAAUAGAUUUGAGAAAAUCUCUUAGUCGCUUGAACCACAUCCGUGGUGACUGCUUGAGACCAUAUAGAUCUCGAUUAAGUAGGCAUACAUGAUCGGGCUUGUCGUGAUCAUUGAACCCCGCCGACUGAGACAUAAUAAUGUGUUUGGUGAGAUUCCCAUACAUGAACGCAUUAUUUAUAUCAAUUUGAUUUAGCCACCACCCCCUUGAAAUGGCGAUGGUGAGCACUACUCUAAUCGAGACCGUCUUGAUCACAGGGCUGUAUAGUCCGUCCCCUAUUGUUGUCUCAUGCCGUUAGCGACCAGUUGAGUGUUCAAUCUUUCCACCGAUCCAUCGUCUCUUUGUUUAACUUUGAAGAUCCAUUUGCAGUUAAUGGCGUGGUUUGAAUCUUCGCGAGGCACGAGAGACCAAGUGUUGUUCCUUUAGAUUGAGUGCAACAAACACUUCACACAUCGCCUCUUUCCACUUGGGAAGCGUAAGAGCAACUUUGACCGAUUUGGGAACCAUAAUAUCUGAAGCCGCAAUUGACAAUGCAUAUUUAGGAUUGGGUUUCGGUAUCCUUUCCGAUUUCUUUUUCCUAAUCGGAGAUACGACUUCAUUUUCGCCUUCAUUAUCUGAAGAAUUUGAAGAAGGAGUGUAGUCAGGAUCAGAAGUGUUACAAAUGACCUUACUUGUCUGCGACGGUAGAGACGACGAUGGCCUGAGAUCAGGAUUCGGUAAAUGUUCACUAUCAGGCGCGAGUGAGGAUAUCUCAUCGCUACCGAUUAAAUCUGUAAUCGGGUCUGGAACUAGUGAAAUUUUCCCAAUUCCGUAAUUAUUUCCCGAAACAAUUUCACCUAUAGCUAGAACUUCUAUCCUUGUUGUCCUGAGAUUCUCCACCGGUACAUCGACAGUUUCCUACGUCGCUUCUUUAGGGUUCGAAAAACAUUGAUUUAGAGAGAAAUCCGUCUUACAGAAAUGCACGUCUCUAGAAGUGAACAUUGUGCGAGAGAUGGGAUCAUAGCAUAAAUACCCAUAUUGAUUCUCCGAGUACCCAAAAAAUACGCAUUCAACAGAUUUGUCUGCCAGUUUGUCCUCACGAUACGGGCAAAGAUUAGGAUAGGCAUAUGAUACGAGAUAAUUUGGAAUCAAUAUUCGUGUUUGAUAUUGGGCAAACGUCUUGAUACAUACUUAUACACAAUGAACAAGAUAGGAAAUGUAUAUCCUUCCUCUAAUCCCGGUAUCAAUCAUAUAUUCUUCUACAUCCAAGAAGAAUAUAUAAUGUAUAUCCUUCCUCUAAUCCCGGUAUCAAUCAUAUAUUCUUCUUGGAUGUAUAAGAUCUUUGCCAGCAAACGUUAUCCUUAAUGUAUGGGAUCCCGGUAUCAAUCAUAUAUUCUUCCUGGAUAUAUGGAAUCUUUGUCAACAAGCGUUAUCCUCAACAAAAAUUACAUACACAACGAGACUAAAACCUUAGACCCUCAAUAACCUUAAUAAUUAUUGUGAUCAGUUGAUCUAAUCUCCUCUGUGUGUGGUUUUUUUCUAAAUCUCUAAAAAAAAGGUAGAACCAACUCUAUAGAUCAUUAUGGAAUAGAAUAAAAUAUUACACAAUCUGUGUACUCUAUUACAGAAUACAACAACUCUCUACAUAAUGUUAAUAAAAUAUUUGUAUCAAAUCAUGAGAACUUUAAGUAUUUUAAUUAUAACUUGCGCCAACAGAUCUUCUUUUAUAUCUUUCUGUUUUUUUCUAUGCUUUUUUUCUGGACUCUUACUGGUUGCUGUUUUUUAAUUAUGCAGGAAAAGGGAUAAGAUACGAUGCAGAAGCUAUCGUGCUAUCAAUAGGAGAAAGUCGAAAAUAUUCUAAGCUCAUGCAUCGAGAGUCUGUAUUCACCGAGUAACAAGCAAUAAGAAAGAGACAUCAAGUGAAAUUAAAAUUAACCGAUGCAAUGCUUUUUCACGGGGUCGACGAAAGUCUCCAGUGAGAUACACUAUCGUGUGGGAAUGGAGAUGGAAUGGUAAAUAUUACGGAUGCAGAACAAACAAAUUUAUUCACAAACAAGUUAAGUUAGAUUAAUUAUUUGCUGUUUGGGUAUCUGUAAAAAAUUUAUUCUUCAACAAUGGGUCAUAAAAGACCAAUCAAUUUGACCUUAAACUUGAUCUAAACAUGAAGAUGCAUCUCCAGAUCCAUUUGCUUAUCUCCUAUGGUAGGUAGAGUGAUGGUAACUUUUUUUUUUAAUAAGUUGUUUUAUAUAUUAAAAAUUUAAGGUCUACAGAAAUUCAACACACAAAAACAAUUGAUUUAAAUAUAAUCAUACUUACUUUCUACUUACUCUCUAUCAAAGGAGACGAGUUUGCCCCGCAGUUAAUCAAUUUUAACUUCCUUCUUUCAUCCUGUUGUGGAUCAGCAACUGAAGAGCAUCACAUUGAUGUAAUGCCCUCUCUUCCGCAUUCCUCUUGUGUGGCUUUUUGAAUUUGUUUUCCUUGAAAGCGAUUUCCGUCGAUCUGAUGCAUUUCCUUAUGAUCAUUUCCUGCGAGGUUGAGAUUCUUCCAUGGUGACGUUGGUUUCGCUCCUUUUAUAUGUGGAACAGUAUGAAACCAAACAUUGUCCAAUGCAAUCCCCAACACUUUGAUCCAGGAGUGAUUUUAUCAAUUUCACGAGCAAUGAUUUCAAAAUCCCCAAUGUUUUGUGUAUUUACCAACCCACCCGCUGCAUCAAAGCCCUUCUUUAGCAUCCACUUCGCGAACCUGCAUUUGAAAAAAACAUGAGAUAUUGUCUCAGGUUCUUCACCACAUAAUACACAAUCUUCUGCCACAUUCAAUUUUUUAUGUCUCAGUCUUAUCCCUUGUUGCUAUGUUGCCCCUCUGUAUUCUCCACAUGUUCAAGGAGAUUUUGUGUACACCUGAUGACCAUAUACCUAUCGUUAGAUCAUCCUUCGGGGUUGUCUUCCUCAGCGUAUCCACUGCAAUUGCUAAUGAUUGUCGACUACCAUUCCCCUUCCACUGAAUUGUUCGGUUUGGUGUACAAUCUAUACAUUUGUUUAUGUUUUCACGUUGUCGCAAGACCUCCCUCCACAUGGCCGAAUCAUUAUAGCAUCUCGAUAGGAGAAUCUGAAUCGGGAUAAUUUUUUAUAAAAACCUUAAAAUAAAAUUAUAAAAGUAUAAAACCACCUUUAAUAAAGUUAAUUAAUAGUCAAUUAAUCAUCCUAAAAUCUGAAUAUCCGGAAGUCAAUUUAUAUUUAUUCGGAUAUCCGAAUUCAAAAUUAUCAACCGAAUUCGAAUUUUAACGGCGGAUAUUGCAGAUAUCUGAAUCCGUCCAGAUAAUUUUCAGAUAUCAUUUUUGGUAUCCGAUCCGAAUCCGAAAAUCCGAAUUCGAAUAAACAUAUUCGAAUUUGAAAAUAGAUACGAAUACAAAUUUCGGUAUAUACAAGUUUCGGUAUACAAGUCCGGAGUUAAUUUUAGUCUCGUUAAAUAUUUUGGAACCGAAGGUCCAGGUCCGGACCCGAUCAUUAACCAGUUCGAAUUCUGCACCCUAGUACUAAGUGACAUGCAUGUAGGUAGGUAUUAAAAGUUUGUAAUACAAUUAUUUUAAUUAUUUACAUUACUCAAUUAGUCAAUUAAUUUACUGAACUACCGAUGCUAUUUGAACUACCACGCCCAACAAAUCAAUUUUCCAACUUCAAAAAAAACAUGUUAGAAACGUUUGUACUAACAGUGUACAACAACUGACUGAAAUCGGACGGACAACGACAUCUAGCACAAAUAGCGCAAUUUAUAUUCGACACACCUGAUGUAUGCCGUAUAAUUAUUAUCUUAACAAAUCUCCUCAUCUUCAUUCAGAAGUCUCUGGUUAAUAUCAUGUUCUUGAUGAUUAGAUAUUUCAGUUUGUUCUUGAUGAUUAUUCUCCCCACUUCUACCCCAUAGCACCAGGUAAAGUCCAAUUACAAUGAUCAAACCGCCAAUAAUCCUGUGAAAAUUCAACAAAAUUAACUAAAAUCACUUCCUUGUUUCCUGUUAUAUAUAUUUUUUAAUCAACUUACCCUCCAGAAUAUAGUUGGUCCCCAAGUAAGAAGAAACCCAAAACAGCAGUAGCUAUGGUUUUGACCGGAUCGAAAAUCCCGACAAAGAGUGGUCCUCCGUUAUUAAUGCACCAUGCUUGAAGAGGAAAACUCAUCCCUGAUACAAUAACUCCCUGUAUGAUGUAUAAAAUCAUGAACGUAUAUGAUCGAUCUCUAUUAUUAUAACGAUCGUCACCGUCAUAUAUAUUGGAAGCUCACAUUAUAGAGCAAAGCUAACAACACUCCUCUUGAUUCAAUCUUCCACAUCUCGACGUCUCUCUCAGUGAUUGCCGAGAUGGCAGCCAAUUGGAGUGAUCCGAAUAAGCAAGUGUAGGUAGUGAGUGUGAGCUUUGCUGGGUACUUCUUUAAAAGUGGAUCUUGAAGUACCAACCAACUUGAUCUUGCUAAACAAGCCCCAAACAUGAAGAUGCAUCCUAAAGUCCAUUUGCUUAUUACAUCUGUUUGUUGUAGUGAUGAUGAAUUGAGGAGAAGUACAGGACCUUUGAAAAGAGUUAUGACAAUAGCUCCUACUAUUGUUGUUAAGGUUCCAACCAGUUUCCCCCAUCCAUAUCUUUCAGUCAGACUCACCUUCUCGAUCCUCAAUCCCACUGACAUGAUGAAAAUCAUCGCCGGAACGGUGUUGAGGAUGGCAGAAGAGAAGGUUGAUGAUAAGUAAGACAACCCCAGAAGAAAUAACCAUUGGUUCAAUGUAAUCCUACAAUCAAUCAACCAUCAACCAUGCAUCAACAAUGGUUUAAAUUAAUGGUUCUGACGAAAUUCAGUGCUUUAGCGAUGGUAUGAUCGUAUCCAAAACAAAAAAAAUAUAAAUAAUGAAUGAAUUAAUGGUGAUUGGAAUUGAAACUUACCCAAUCAGCGCGAUAAGAAAGAAUUGGAGCAGCAAUGAGAGUGUUAGAGGUGGUCUUUCUUUCCUGUUAGUGAUUAGUAGUGGUUAUUGAUCUAUCGAUCAUUUAGACAUUAAUCAUUGAUGAAUUAAAAAAAAAUGCAUAUAGUGAAACUUAACCUACUUUUCGAGAAAAUAUGCAAAAGGUGCCAAGAAUAAGAAACCAAUGAAGUUCCUGUAAGUUGAGAACACAAGUUUGCUUACAUCCGUCUUCAGUGAGAGAGCAGAUACCACAGACAUUCCUGCAGCACAAAUUUGGAGAACCAAAACUCCCAAAAGAAGCUUCAUCGUUCUUCCCGCUAGUUAUCCUCGAUCUCCGGCCUCUUCAGAUCUCCUCUCUUUUAACUGUAAGUUUUGCAAAUUAAUUGCUCUCCGCCUAUAUUAAAUUCCCAACUACAUGGUAGAGGACACUCUCCAUUUGAAUAGAUCCAUAUAAGCAAGUCAGUGAGUCUGAAAAUAUAUCAUGUUAAAAUAUAUGCAACUGGCUUGAAGAUAAAAAUAUAUCUCAGAUACAACAACUCUCUAUAUGAUCAUGGUAAUAAAAUAUAUGCAACUGGCUUGAAGAUAAAAAUAUAUCUCAGAUACAACAACUCUCUAUAUGAUCAUGGUAAUAAAAUAUAUUGUAUGAAAUCAUGAAAACUUCCACCAACGAAUCUCCUUUUGAUUUAAUCUCCCACAUCUCUUCUAGUGAUUCCAGAUUUGUCGGCCAAUUUGACAGAUCCAAGUAAGCAAAUGCAGACAUUGAAUGUGAGCUUUUCUUGGUACUUGUUCAACAGUAGAUCAUAAAAGACCAAUCAACUUGAUCUAAACAUGAAGAUGCAUCUCCAGACUCCAGAUCAAUUUUCUUAUCUCAUAUGGUAGGUAGGUAGAGUGAUGGUGACUGACUUAAUGUCAGCAGGGAUAACAAUCUAUAUGUUUUCCUUUAUCUAUAGUUAAUUAGCAGUGACAAACUUGAUAUUUGUUGAUUGAAUUUUGACUCUGUGAGAUUGCAAUAUUAUUCUCUAAGAUUAAUAGUAGUUAAACAUAAUGAUUAAGACCUUUAACACUUAAUAAAUAGGGUCAGUUUCAAGUGAGAUUCACUAUAAAUAUCUUUUGAGAAUCCAUAGACUAGGCAUUUCCCGAUGCCUGGCACUAGGAAUGGGCAUGUUUCGGGUUUGGUUCAGGUUUAUUCUCACCGGAACCUGAGUUUUGAAAUCGAGUUUGUAUCAAAAUCCGAAAACGUCUAAAAUUAUAGAACCUGAACCCGAUUUGGAAGUUAGGUUUGGUCGGGUUCAAUCGGACUUCGAGUCUAAUAAUUUUUUGAAAAGAAAUGCAUAAAAAAUCCUGUUAUUUAAAUAAUUUAAUCAAAUAAUUUUGAAAACCUUAAAUAAGAUAAAAUAUCAAAUAAUUUUUAAAUAAUUUUUUAAUGAAAGACUCAAAUGUGAAAAUGAAUCCGACAACGACAACAGCGAGGAGAUGGAAGAUGAAAAUGGAAAAGGAAAGAAAAAUGAUAAUAAUAUUAAAUGUCUAUAUUAAAUUUUUAUAAAAUAUUUUAUAUAAAAUGAAAUUUUCUUUAUAUUAAUUAUUUAUAUUUUAAGAUUUUUUAUAAAUUUCUUCGGAUUUCGGGUGAGUCGAGUUUGGUUGAGGUCUUACCCGAAUCCGACUCAAAAAAAUCAUGUAAAAAAAACUCGAAUUCGUAUCUUUCAUAUCUGGUUUUAUGAUCGACAAUAUCUACCUAACACUUUAUGCGAUACAACGAAUUCUCGUUAUUAUAUUAUAUAAUGUUAUAAUUACAUAAUAUUUUAUUUAAAAACAGGUGGUUUUGUGUUGCCUUGAUAUUAUGAGUCGAGCGAAUGACUCGUCUUUUCCUCACCCCUACUUUUUACUGGUCCCCUCAUUAAAGAUCAAAGUCUAUUUUAUAAUAUUAAUAAUUUAACAUAUAUACUAGUAGGGAUGCAAAAAAAAAAAUUGAUAUUCGACAAACUGUUUGAUUCGAUCCGGGUUCGAUCCGGUUAUUAAACGAACCAAACCUAAAUCUUAUGAAGCGAUCAACAUUCCUACACUCCAAAUCCAAUCAGCAUUUAAAGAAAAACUGAUCAAAGAUCAAACCAUCGAAGAACAACCAUAAGAGAUUUCAGUCAAUAACGUCAUCCGAAGGAGCAACCGUCGGAAGGAUUCUGUUGGUAUCAGGGACCGUCCAAACGGCCUCCUGACCAAACAGGUCCAUCAAGGCCCAGUAAGCCCAAGGGUUUAGGCUAUAAAUACCUCCCCUGGUUCAACAGGGAAGGGGAUCGAUUAUUAUAGUAAACACAAUAUUAGAGAGUUGUGUGUGUAAGCACCCUAGCGCGAGCCCACACACCAUCAGAUUCAAAUCAACAAAACGACUACAUAUAUUAUUAGAAAAAUAUAUCUUUAAUUAUCUCAUGUAUACGAUGUUGGAUUGAUAAGAUUCAUCAUCGUUGAAAGGAGGAAUGGAGAUGAGCUUGUGAGUCAUGUAGACGAUGGAUGUAAGGAAAAAAUAGAAAAUAAGUUUUGGGAAAUCAAAAGCUUGGUGAUGUCUCUUUAUUAAGUGUAUAUUUAUACGGUAAUUUUCAGGUACGCCGUACGUCGGUGUACCAAAAUACGUCGUUCGCAUCAUGUCCUUUAAUUUUUAAUCAAAUAUAGCUACAAUAAUGUACUGCAUAAAACAUUAACACAUUUACGAUAAAAAAAAUGUACAACAAAAGACACUAACUCAUGUACGACGAAAUGUCGGCCAAAUAGUCAGAAUUUUUUGGCGCAUUAAAAUUCGCACACAAGAAACUUACCCUAUAUUUAUAUACACUUAGAGUAACAAUCCACUUAUAUUGUAGUGGAGAUUGUUACCAUAAUAUUGGAAUAAUAGAAUAUAAGUGAUGAGGGUGGAACCUGACCAAUGUUCGGCGUCGCUUCGAACAAGCGCCAGAUGGGGAACUUUGCGGGGAAAUCAGGCCGGGACUCAGUUGCUCAAAGCUCAGCUUCGUUGGGACUUCUCCACUCUCAAUGAUUUGCCCAAAUGAGUGAGAGGUGCCUCAUAUUUAUAGGACUUUUUAUGGGGGGCAAUCUGAUCAUUUGGGCCAUAACCACCUAACUGACCAGAUCUGGUCCCUAAUCGACUUUUCCGGGAUCGACUUUCUUAAGGUCCGACUUUUCUAGAGUCUGACUUCCUGAGAAAGUCGAGUUCUAGGAAAGUCGACCUCUGAGGAAGUCGAUCUUCCCAGGUGUUGACUUGGGACCUCCCCAAACCUGGAAUAGGUGUUUCAGCUCAUCUUGGGUUAUCCGAACCUCUAGUUGCUGGUGCGUUGUGACCAAGUUCGGGAUAUUGUAUCACCAAUAAGUAUUAUACAGUUUGAUAAUUAUAAUAUUUGUAUUCCAAUACCUCCCCUCAAGAUGGCGUGGAUUGAUCAACAACGCCGAGCUUAGAUUUUAUCUCGAGAAAUCGUGAUGAGGGCAAUGGUUUUGUAAAACCAUCCGCGAUUUGAUCUCUCGUUAAUAUAUGUGUUACCUGUAUUGUUCCAUCUUGAACUAAUUCUCAUACAAAAUUGAAAUUGAGUGUCAUAUAUUUCAUCCUGGAGUGAAACACUGGAUUAUGUAUCAGAUAUUUUGCGCCUAGAUUAUAUGUCCAUAGUUGUGAGCAGGUAACCUGUAUUACUCAAAGUUCUUUUAAUAAAUUUUGUAUCCAUACAAUUUCCGAGGAAACAUCAGCCAGAAUACGAAACUCGGCUUCUGUAGACGAUCGUGCAACUGUAGGUUGUUUUUUGGCUGAUCAUGACUCUAAACUUUUCCCGAUAAAUAUUUCAAAACCUCUCGUACUUCAUCGAUCGUCUUGACAUCUUACCUAAUAUGUAUCGAUUCUGUAUAACCAUGAUGGAGUGAACAAAAUUCCAUGAUUGCUAGUACCUUGUAAAUAUCUCAACGCCUGUUUCGUUUCUGUCCAAUGUAGUGUGGUGGGGUUUGGGAGAUACUGAUACAAUUUGUUUAUCACAAACGAUAUAUCUGAUCGAGUGUUUACAAGAUACAAACAACUUAUCUUCGAAUGGUACUCCGUCAGUUGAAUUUAACUUCAUAGACGUUGACAUAGGUGUGGGUGCAGACUUGACCUUGUCCAUUUUUGUUCGACCCAAUAAGUCACACGUGUACCGAUGCUUAGAGAGGACAUACCCCCCAGUUGUACAAAUCAGUAUUUGUAUACAAAAUUCAGUUUAUAUACUUUAUUCAGUUUAUACAAAAUUCAGUUGUAUACCACAUAACUUAUCAAAAAAUAUUAUCUUUAAGAUACUCAAGAAAAUAGAUAUAUAUUAUUUUAACAGAUCUCCUCAUUUUCAUUCAGAAGUCUCUGGUUAAUAUCAUGUUCUUGGCUGGUCUGAUCAUUAGAUAUUUCAUUUUGAUUAUUCUCCCCACUUCUACCUCAUAGCACCAUGUAAAGUCCAAUCACAAUGAUCAAACCGCCAAUAAUCCUGUGAAAAUUUAACUCAAUUAACUAAAAUCACUUCCUUGUUUCCUGUUAUAUAUAAUUUUUAAUCAGCUUACCCUCCAGAAUAUAGUUUGUCCCCAAGUAAAAAGAAACCCAAAACAGCAGUUGCCAUGGUUUUGACCGGAUCGAAAAUCCCGACAAAGAAUGGUCCUCCGCCAUUAAUGCACCAUGCUUGAAGAGGAAAACACAUCCCUGAUACAAUAACUCCCUACAUAUUAUAUAAAAUCAUGAACAUGAUUGAUCUCUAUUAUUAUAACGAUCGUCGCCGUCAUAUAUAUUGGAAGCUCACAUUAUAGAGCAAAGCUAACAACACUCCUCUUGAUUCAAACUUCCACAUCUCGACGUCUCUCUCAGUGAUUGCCGAGAUGGCCGCCAAUUGGAUUGAUCCGAAUAAGCAAGUGUAGGAAGUGAGUGUGAGCUUUGCUGGGUACUUCUUUAAAAGUGGAUCUUGAAGUACCAACCAACUUGAUCUUGCUAGACAAGCCCCAAACAUGAAGGUGCAUCCUAAAGUCCAUUUGCUUAUCAUAUCUUUUUGUGGCAGUGAUGAUGAAUUGAGGAGAAGUACAGGACCUUUGAAAAGAGUUAUGACAAUAGAUCCUGCCAUUGUUGUUAAGGUUCCAACCAGUUUCCCCCAUCCAUAUCUGUCAGUCAGACUCACCUUCUCGAUCCUCAAUCCCACUGACAUGAUGAAAAUCAUCGCCGGAGCGGUGUUGAGGAUGGCAGAAGAGAAGGUUGAUGAUAUAUAAGACAGUCCCAGAAGAAAUAACCAUUUGUUCAAUGUAAUCCUACAAUCAAUCAACCAUCAAUCAUGCAUCAACAAUGCGUUUAAAUUAAUACUGCGGGGUUCUGACGAAAUUCAGUGCUUUAGUGAUGGUAUGAUCGUAUCCAAAACAAAAAAAAUAUAAAUACUGAAUGAAUGGUGAUUGGAAUUGAAACUUACCCAAUCAGCGCGAUAAGAAAGAAUUGGAGCAGCAAUGAGUGUUAGAGGUGGUCUUUCUUCCAUGUUAGUGAUUAGUAGUGGUUAGUGAUUAGUAGUGGUUAUUGAUCGAUCGAUCAUUUGAAAUUAAUCAAUGAUGAAUUAAAGAAAAUCUGCAUAUAGUGAAACUUAGCCUACUUUUCGAGAAAAUAUGUAAAGGGUGCCAAGAAUAAGAAACCAAUGGAGUUCUUGUAAGUUGAGAAUACAAGUUUGCUUACAUCUGUCUUCAGAGAGAGAGAGCUGACACCACAGACAUUCCUGCAGCACAAAUUUGAAGAACCAAAACUCCCAAAAGAAGCUUCUUCAUCGAUCUUUCGGCAAGUUAUCCUCGAUGUCCUCUUCCUGUGAUUAGCAAGUCAUCUACGUAUGCUAGUAUAAAUAUCUUGCUUGUUUCAUUUAUUUUCAUGAAUAGUACAUAGUCUGACUUGGUUUGUUUAAAUCCCACUUGUAAUGCCACUUGUAAUAUCACUUGCUAUUUUAAUUUAAUAGAUAUAUCAUAGAUAUAUUUACACAUAAAAAAAACUAAGAUUUAAACAGACCAAGUCAGACUAUGUACUAUUCAUGAAAAUAAAUGAAACAAACAAGAUAUUUAUACUAGCAUACAUAGAUGACUUGCUAAUCACAGAAAAUAAUCUAAAAGAAAUAAUACAACUAAAGAAAGAAUUAACUAGCAAUUUUUUUUACCAUAAAAAACUUAGGAAAAUUAAAAUAUUUUCUAGGAUUAGAAUUCACAACAAAACAAUGAUUAUAUAUGAGUCAAAGAAAAUAUGCAACUGAAAUCUAGAACAACCUAAUUAUGUACAUGCAAAACCAGGAGAGUAUCCAUUAUAUACUAGUUCUAGUCAUAAUUCCAAACAGAAUCAAAAGGAAGAAAUUCUUGAAGAUCCUACUGUAUACAGGAAAAUAGUUGGAAAACUCGUAUAUUUAACAGUCACAAGACCAGAUAUCAUGCAUGCAGUUAACUGUCUAAGUCAACAUAUGGCAAGGCCUACAAAUGAAGAUACAAGAAAAGUCAACAAAGUACUGAGAUACAUAAAAAGCUCACCGGGUCGUGGACUCUUCUUUUCAUCAGUAUCGCACACCUCCUGGAUCAAGGCUUUUUCAUACUCAGAUUGGGCUGCUUGUCCAACCACGCGAAGAUCGACGACAGGGUUCGCCAUAUUCCUUAAUGAAAACCUGAUUUCAUGGCAAACCAAAAAGUAACACAGGAUUGCAAGAUCAUCAACAGAAGCAGAAUACCGAGCUCUAGCAUACACGACUUGUGAAAUAACAUGGCUACGACAUCUACUAGAAGAACUAAAAAUAAAUGUACCUGCAACAACGACACUCUUAACAGAUAGCUCCUCAGCUGCUGCAAUCACAAACAACCUAGUUCUUCAUCAAAGAACAAAACAUAUAGAGAUUGACAUACACACAAUAAGAGAUAAGGUGUUUAUAAAGGAGAUAAAAAUAAACAAGGUAAAUACGAAAGAAAAUGUUGCAGACAUAUUUACCAAAGAGGUCACCGACACACUCUUCAGAACUCUUCGUGACAAACUCAGAAUAGAAGAUCUGCAUGCAAGCGCAAAAGAUUAAAGAAGGAAAUAGAAGUAGAAUGAGAAGCUAACUACUAUCAGCGGAGUCACCUUUCUGAAUCCGAUGAUCGUUUUCCAAGCUUCCCACUUUUUUUUCAACUUUUCGCGCAAGAAUAGAGAAACCCCUAGUUACGAACAAGAAGCCAAAGUCACAAUACAAAUAUUCUCUUUUUAUACAAACAGUUGGGCCUACCUUCAAUCCAAAAUUUAAGAUCUCCAAACCAAAGUUUUGUAAAUCAAUUGCUCCCCGUCAAUUAAAUUCCAACUACAUCGUCAGUGAGUGUGAGGUUUGCUAGGUACUUCUUCGACAGUGGGUCAUGGCAGACCAAUCAAACAUGACGAUGCGAUCUCUAUUUGUUUAUCAAAUUAUUAGGUAGAUUGAUGGUGGUGAUUUAAUAAAUAUUUGUCUCAUUGGAAUUAAAAAAUGUUAUCUUUAAAAUAUUUAAGAAACUAUAGUAAGAUUGUUUUGAAUGGUUAAUUUCUAGUAGAGGUGAGCUUGGGUCGGGUCAAAUACGAGCCCGACCUGAACAUAUUUAUUCUAAAAGGAUCAUAUCCGGUUGCAACACACGGUUUAUUUAUUUGUCUAUGUUGAUGACAUCGUCAUUAAUUUCUGGAUCAAAUGACGAUAUUGUUGAAACAAUCAUCGUGAAGCUAAGUAAUGAAUUUUGAUUUACGCUGCUUGGCGAAUCUAUCUUUCUUUCUUGGACUUCAGGUAACAUCGGUUGGUCUUGGGUUGCAUUUGAAUCAGGCUCAAUAUCUCAGCAACUUGCUCAAGAGUUGUGAUCUGGUAAACUUGAAGCCUUCUAUCACGCCUAUGGUCAAGAAUCAAGAUCUUCACUCAGUAGAAGAACCCAUCAAAGAGGAAAAAGAAUAUCUACGAAUUAUCGGAUCAUUAUAAUAUCUGAUACUAGCUCGUCCGGACAUUCAAUUUGCGUUCAAUAAGUUAUCACAAUUUAUGUCGACUCCAAAACCUCUUCAUUGGGUUGCAAUGAAGAAGAUGUUGCAGUAUCUCUCUAGGACACAACAGCUUGGAAUUCUACUUACAAAUGUAUCACAUUUUUUUCUUUCUAGUUUUUGUGAUGCCGAUUGGGGGGGGGGUGAUACUAUUGAUUGCAAGAGUCAGAGAGGGUACUUGAUCUAUCUUGGUGAGUCGUUAGUUGCGUGGAGCUCUCGGAAACAGGAUAUCGUCGCUCAUUCAAGCACAUAAUCUGAAUAUAGGACUAUUUCUACCACUAUCACGGAAUUGGAGUGGAUGAAGAACCUGUUGAAGGAGUUAGGGGUUGACACUAAAGGUCCAAUGCAACUCAAAUCUGACAAUUUGGGGGCUACGUUUCUCGCGUCUAAUUCAGCUUAUCAUACAAGAUUAAAGCAUGUUGCAGUAGAUCUUAAAUAUGUCAGAGAACGAGUUGAAGCAGGGUCUGUUAAUGUUACUCAUGUUCCUGGGAGGCUACAACAAGCAGAUGUGCUAACAAAGGCUUUGGAUCCUAAAUCGUUUGCUGAGCAAAGAUCCAAUCUUGUGAGUAAACGAUCCCAAGAUUGAGGGGGUGUAUUAUCUUAAACGAUUUGCUGUCAAUUACAUAGCAGCUAUUACACGUUACAUAUCAAUAAAAUCCUAACCCUAUUGUAAUUUAGGUCAAGAUUUUAUUGACCGUCCUUUUUUGUAUAUAGUAACUCCAACGUUACAUUUGUAUAGUUUAAAUAGCAAUGUAUGCAUGAAUAAAACUCACAUUCAUUUUCCUGAAAAUACAUCUUUCAUAAAAUAUAAUAAAACUAGAUAUAUAUCAUUUUAACAGAUCUCCUCAUCUUCAUUCAGAAGUCUCUGGUUAAUAUCAUGUUCUUGGCUGGUCUGAUCAUUAGAUAUUUCAGUUUGAUUAUUCUCCCCACUUCUACCCCAUAGCACCAUGUAAAGUCCAAUCACAAUGAUCAAACCGCCAAUAAUCCUGUGAAAAUUUAACUCAAUUAACUAAAAUCACUUCCUUGUUUCCUGUUAUAUAUAAUUUUUAAUCAGCUUACCCUCCAGAAUAUAGUUUGUCCCCAAGUAAAAAGAAACCCAAAACAGCAGUUGCCAUGGUUUUGACCGGAUCGAAAAUCCCGACAAAGAAUGGUCCUCCGCCAUUAAUGCACCAUGCUUGAAGAGGAAAACACAUCCCUGAUACAAUAACUCCCUACAUAUUGUAUAAAAUCAUGAACAUGAUCGAUCUCUAUUAUUAUAACGAUCGUCACCGUUAUAUAUAUUGGAAGCUCACAUUAUAGAGCAAAGCUAACAACACUCCUCUUGAUUCAAUCUUCCACAUCUCGACGUCUCUCUCAGUGAUUGCCGAGAUGGCCGCCAAUUGGAUUUAUCCGAAUAAGCAAGUGUAGGCAGUGAGUGUGAGCUUUGCUGGGUACUUCUUUAAAAGUGGAUCUUGAAGUACCAACCAACUUGAUCUUGCUAGACAAGCCCCAAACAUGAAGAUGCAUCCUAAAGUCCAUUUGCUUAUCAUAUCUAUUUGUGGCAGUGAUGAUGAAUUGAGGAGAAGUACAGGACCUUUGAAAAGAGUUAUGACAAUAGCUCCUGCCAUUGUUGUUAAGGUUCCAACCAGUUUCCCCCAUCCAUAUCUGUCAGUCAGACUCACCUUCUCGAUCCUCAAUCCCACUGACAUGAUGAAAAUCAUCGCCGGAACGGUGUUGAGGAUGGCAGAAGAGAAGGUUGAUGAUAGGUAAGACAACCCCAGAAGAAAUAACCAUUGGUUCAAUGUAAUCCUAUACAAUCAAUCAACCAUCAACCAACAAUCAUGUAUCACCAAUGUAUAGUAUCCAGUGCUGGUAUAAUCGUACCCAAAACAAAAAAUAAAUAAAUACUGAAUGAAUGAAUGAAUUUAUUGGAGCUUACCCAAUCAGCGCGAUAAGAAAGAAUUGGAGCAGCAAUGAGAGUGUUAGAGGUGGUCUUUCUUUCCUGUUAGUAAUUAAGUAGGCAAUUAGUAGUAGUUAUCGAUUGAUCGAUCAGUCGAAUUUAAUCACCGACGAAUCAAAGAAAAUCAGCAUAUAAUAAAACUUAACCUACUUUUCGAGAAAAUAUGCAAAGGGUGCCAAGAAUAAGAAACCAAUGAAAUUUCUGUAUGUUGUGAACACAAGUUUGCUUACACCCAUCUUCAGAGAGAGAGCAGACACGACAGACAUUCCUGCAACACAAAUUUGGAGAACCAAAACUCCCAAAAGAAGCUUCAUCAAUCUUCCCUCUAGUUAUCCUCGAUGUCCUCUUCAGAUCUCCUCUCUUUUCACUUAAAGUUUUGCAAAGCAAUUGCUCCCCUUCAAUUAAAUACCCAACUACAUCGUCAGUGAGUGUGAGGUUUGCUAGGUACUUCUCCGACAGUGGGUCAUGGCAGACCAAUGAAACAUGACGAUGCAUUGAUCUCUAUUUGUUUAUCAAAUUAUUAAGUAGAUUGAUGGUGGUGAUUUAAUAAAUAUUUGUCUCAUUGGAAUUAAAAAAUGUUAUCUUUAAAAUAUUUUAGAAACUAUAGUAAAAUUGUUUUGAAUGGUUAAUUUCUAGUAGGGGUGGGUUUGGGUCGGGUCAAACACGAACCCGACCCUGAACAUGUUGGUUCUGGGUCUGGGUUCAGAUGGAUAUUUUCGACCCUGAACAUGUUGGAUCCCGAGUUUUUUUAUCCAAUUUUUUCGGGUCAAGUUCGAGUAAGACCCAAACCAAUCCCCCGUAUGAAAUAUAAAAGAAAUUUUAUUUUAUAUAAAAUAUUUAAUAAAUUUAAUAUAUAUAUUUAAUAAAUUUUUCCUCUUCUUCUAAAAUCUAAAAUCUAAAAUUAUUUUCAUUUCCAUCUCUUCUUUCAUUUUCAUCUUCCCUCUCCCUUUCAUCACUGUCGCCGCAUCUAUUUUUACAUUUGAGUAUUUGAAUAAAAAUUAUUUGAUAUUUUAUCUUAUUUAAGAUUUAAAAAAAUUAUUUGAUGUUUUAUAUUAUUUAAGAAUUAUUUGAUGCUUUAUCUUAUUUAAUAAUUAUUUAAUGUUUUAUCUUGUUUAAAAAUUAUUUUAUGUUUUGUAUUAUUUAAGAAUUAUUUGAUGGUUUUUAUUAAUUAUUAUUUGUUAUUUUAUAUUAUUUAAGAAUUAUUUGAUGUUUUAUAUUAUUUAAAAAUUAUUUGAUCAAAAUUUUCAAAUUAUUUAAAUAAUAAGAUUCUUUAUGCAAAAUUUUCUAAAAAAAUCAUUAAACCCGAACCUGACCGAAUCUGACAUCUAAAUUGGGUUCGGGUACUAUGAUUUUGGAUGUUCCCAGGUUUUGACCCGAAUCCGAUUUCAAAACUUCGUUUUACUACAUUCAAAGAUCCUUUCUCUCUCUGAUGUUUACUGAUUUUUGUAGGCCCUACUCCAGUUUUGUCAUCUCAUGGUUUUCGUUAUUAUGUAAAUUUUAUGGAUGCAGAGUCAAAUUUUAAUUGGGUAUUUUCUCUGCAUUUCAAGUCACAAGUUGGAUAGUUGUUUAAAAAGUUUAAAGUAUUGGCAGAGGCUCAAUGUGGUUAUUCGAUUAAAUCAUUUCAGUCAGAUAACGCCAUAUCCGUACAAUCAUCAACAGAUGAGAUCUGUUGAACAUCGUCAUAAAACAAGGUAAAGUCCAAUCACAAUGAUCAAACCACCAAUAAUCCUGUGGAAAAUAAAGUAAAUUAAAUAAAAUCAGCAAGAUUUUUUGUUAUAUAUUAUAUCACAUGCAUGCUUUGAUGCUCACCCUCCAGAAUACAGUUGGUCCCCAAGUAAGAAGAAACCCAGAACAGCAGUAGUAAAAGUUUUAACAGGAUCGAAAACUCCAACAAAGAGUGGUCCUCCACCAUUAAUGCACCAUGCUUGAAGUGGAUAACAUAUCCCAGAUGCAACAACUCCCUGCAUAUAAAAUUUUAAUUAAUAAAAUAUUUUAUUCAAAAUUCAAAUCAUGAACAGCUAGAUAGAUGAUUAUAGUGUAUUACAGUAUAGAGCAAAGCCAGAAUCUCUCCUUUUGAUUUAAUCACCCACAUCUCAAUAUCUCUCUCAGUGAAUGCUGAGAUGGCAGCCAAUUGGAUUGAUGCAAACAAGCAAGUGUAGGCAGUGAGUGUGAGCUUUGCUGGGUAUUUCUUCAACAAUGGAUCUUGAAGUACCAACCAAAUUGACCUUGCAAGACAAGUUCCAAACAUGAAGAUGCAUCCUAAACUCCAUUUGCUAAUAACCAAAUCUGUUUGUUGCAGUGACAAUGAAUUAAGGAGAAAUGCAGGACCCUUGAAAAGUGUUAUAAGACUAGCUCCUACUACUGUUAUUAAUGUUCCAACCAGUUUCCCCCAUCCAUAUCUGUCAGUCAGAUUAACCUUCUCGAUCCUCAAUCCCACUGACAUGAUGAAAAUCAUCGCCGGAACGGCGUUAAGUAUAGCAGAAGAGAAGGUUGAUGAUAUAUAAGACAGACCCAGAAGAAAUAACCAUUGG
rnacentral:lncRNA from 1 species